AGAAGAAUGUUAUAUAUAUAUCUUUGUAUUAUUAUUUUUGGAGGCAAAUUAUAAACCUCUCAAACAUCUCACCUCUCAUUUGCCUCUCAUUUGCCAGCUGGAAAAAAAUUGAUGGUUAGAGUGUUGGCCGUUGGGAACGGUGAGUAUGUGUCAACUGACGCAGCUGCAGUUCUUGUUUACAUUGUGGGAUUGAUUGUUUUGUCCGUUUCGAUCGUGACUAUGCUUAUCUUUGCUUGUGCCGACGACAUCAAGCCGCGGAAGAGAUGGGGUAGCAGUGGUCACGGCGGUGGUGUAUAUGGCGGUGAAGGUGCUGGUUGCGGCGGUGGUUGUGGCGGUGGCGGUGGCGGUGGAGGUGGAGGUGGAGAAUGAGAUGUCGUCGGUACUACUUGAUUAUUGGAGCAAUGCCAUUUUGGUCUUGUGUUGAUUAUACAAUGUUAUUACGUAGCUAUUCUUGAUUUUUCAUUCCUUCAAGAAAUUAAAUAUAUAUAUAUAUAUAUAUAUAUAUAUAUAUAUAUAUAUAUAUAUAUAUAUAUAUAUAUAUAUAUAUAUAUUGUGUAUGUGUCGGUUGGAAAUGUUUAUCCAAAUAAAAUCCCGUGGUGUAAUUGUGGUGUUCAAUUAUUAUUUGAUCUCGUUUUAUAAAUGAAUUUCUCAGAGAUAAUUUAAUGGAGUUAUUAAAUGGGAUAUUAAAACUCUUAACCACAAUUUUGAAAUUUUUGGUAGUCUGAAUUAAGAAAAAAUAAUAAAUACUAAUCACUCCACUGGAGUUAUCAUAUGAG
rnacentral:lncRNA from 1 species